AAGCUUUUCAUUAGUGGUCGUGAUUUUGAGGAUCUUGUAGAAUUAUACCCAAUUACGAAGUUAAAUUGUAUUAAUGGAUAUAUACUAUACAUGAUUGUUGGCAUACUAAUUGAAUAGGUUGCUGUCAGUGGGGUUUUCAUUUUGUUUCACUGAGGGCCAACCCCAACCCCAAACUUGUUUAGCUGGGAAUUGGAUUUCAUAGUACUUGUCAUGCCAUUGACUUUGCUCAUCUGAGUUCAUCUUGUGAGGAAAAUAAAAUGUUCUGGG
rnacentral:lncRNA from 1 species